rnacentral:lncRNA from 1 species
CGGGGAACGUUUGAAGAUUUUAACGCUGUGUUGAGAAGAGUGUUUUAAGAUGACAAUAAAGCAAGUUAAUGCUGCUUCUUUUAAUACAUCUGCUGGUUUUAAUGAUGAACGGGUUUUACAUCACUGUGAGUGUGUACAGCUUCGCGCUGAGUUGGUUGCUCUUAAAAACAUUGUUUUAAACUUGGAGAAGGAUUUUAAAGACUCUGUUGGAAGUAAUCUUAACCGUGAAGUGUGUUUUAGAGAGGCUGUGGAUUUUAAAUUUGAAAAAGUGGAGGAAUCUAUCAAGGAUGCCGUGGCGACACUAGAGAGAGAGGUCAUCGACUGUUUUAAGAGGAGAGACAAGAAAUGGGUGAAACAGCUGAAGCAGACAAAGGAUCCAGAAGCCACCAUCUCUCCUCCCACUGCGACUACCAGCCCAGUGCCGCCCACGCCAACCCCUGGCUUUCCUCCAGCCAACCAUCCCUGCACAUCUACCACUUCAUGGACAACCAACAGAGCGACCGAUGGAGAAUUCUGCACCACCACUCCAGCUGGGCCAGAAUUCAACCACAGCUUCUCCAUCCUCCCCUUCUCCAAAGAGCAACUCAGCAGCGCGCAGGGUGAUGACGGCACUCUCCAGGGACUUUCCAUCUCUCCCUCCACUCCACCGACCAACAGGAUCGAAGUGCAGGAGCACCAGGGCUUGCUUUACCGGCGGAUCCAGAAGGGGGACGACGUCUACAAGAUCCAGCUCGUCGUUCCUAAGAACCUGGUCCAGCAGACGGUACAGCACUUCCACCAGAGGACAGCAGAGAAACACCAUGGGCGUCUAAAGACCCUUCUGCAGAUCCUGGAAGUUGCCUGGUGGCCCUCAGUCCGCAGUGAUAUCUGGGCGUUCGUCCGGGACUGCAAGCCGUGUGGUGGGGAGGCCAAGGAGUGUGUUGUCAUCAACCCUACCAAGAAACCACCUGAUCAUCCACCUCAUCCCCGUUCAUCAGCAUCAACAUCAUCCAUCAAAAAGACCCCCAAGCCGGUUUGGAGGAAACGCCAGGGGGGCAGGCCGACCAGCGUGGCUGGGUGCAACGUCAUCCUGGGAGGAUCGGUGCCACCUACCUUAGGACACCCAGGCUGGUAUGGGACUCAACCUCUCUCUAGUGUUCGCCUAAAUUCCUCCGGCAGACUAGAGCCUGUGUGGCAAAGCCUAGUUUUACCUUAUUUAUUACAAAGACAUUUUAAAUCACACAUUCAAGAGGACACCUACCACAGGGACAAUGGCUGACAGGACCUUGUAGGGCUAGUUCCUUCCCCCGGGAGUCAUAGACUAAGGGGGGGGACUAUGUGACACUGUCACACAGGACACAUGUUUUAACCUGC